UGGGGAAUAUUGGACAAUGGGCGCAAGCCUGAUCCAGCCAUGCCGCGUGCAGGAUGACGGUCCUAUGGAUUGUAAACUGCUUUUGUACAGGAAGAAACACUGGUUCGUGAACCAGCUUGACGGUACUGUAAGAAUAAGGAUCGGCUAACUCCGUGCCAGCAGCCGCGGUAAUACGGAGGAUCCAAGCGUUAUCCGGAAUCAUUGGGUUUAAAGGGUCCGUAGGCGGUUUAGUAAGUCAGUGGUGAAAGCCCAUCGCUCAACGGUGGAACGGCCAUUGAUACUGCUAAACUUGAAUUAUUAGGAAGUAACUAGAAUAUGUAGUGUAGCGGUGAAAUGCUUAGAGAUUACAUGGAAUACCAAUUGCGAAGGCAGGUUACUACUAAUGGAUUGACGCUGAUGGACGAAAGCGUGGGUAGCGAACAGGAUUAGAUACCCUGGUAGUCCACGCCGUAAACGAUGGAUACUAGCUGUUGGAAGCAAUUUCAGUGGCUAAGCGAAAGUGAUAAGUAUCCCACCUGGGGAGUACGUUCGCAAGAAUG
rnacentral:rRNA from 1 species